CCCACACUGGGAGACCUCUAGGGAAAGGUUUGGCCGGGUCUUCGCCAAACCAGUAGGACUCUUCUCUCAACUGUGGAUUAUUUCAUCAGGCGUGACACUUUUCAGCAACAGACAGCCAUCGGAAGAUAACCAGCCAUCUUGGAGGAUGCCUGCUAGGAAUGAAGGUCUACGCUGAGUAUGGUAACACCAGGCAGCUUUCCAUAAUUGCAGAUUGAGACUGGCAGAAUUUUCAGUAACAAGCUCUGCUGGACAAAAACUAAAGAAUUAUACGAGAUUUGAAGACUGAAACUGAAUGCCAU